CAUCAGGCGACAGCGGAACAACCGUGGGAUCAACGUAGUCUGCGAUGCUGUUUGAUUUCCGCUGUUGCGCAUCGUAUCGAUAAAACGAAAAUGACGUUCAAGAGCAUGCGCGUUCUAGGAUGUCCAAGUCAGAUACUCUCGCGUCUUGUAA
rnacentral:lncRNA from 13 species